rnacentral:rRNA from 1 species
AUUGAACGCUGGCGGCAGGCCUAACACAUGCAAGUCGAGCGGAUGAAGGGAGCUUGCUCCUGGAUUCAGCGGCGGACGGGUGAGUAAUGCCUAGGAAUCUGCCUGGUAGUGGGGGAUAACGUCCGGAAACGGGCGCUAAUACCGCAUACGUCCUGAGGGAGAAAGUGGGGGAUCUUCGGACCUCACGCUAUCAGAUAAGCCUAGGUCGGAUUAGCUAGUUGGUGGGGUAAAGGCCUACCAAGGCGACGAUCCGUAACUGGUCUGAGAGGAUGAUCAGUCACACGGGAAAUGAGACAGGGUCAAGACCCAGAGGGGAGAGACCAGGGGGGAAUAUGGAACAAGGGGCGAAAGCUUGAACCAGCAAUGGGGGGUGGGGAAAGAAGGUAUGCGGAUAGAAAAGAACUUUAAGGGGGGAGAAAGGAAAGUAAGUUAAUACCUGGCUGUUUUGAGUUACCAAAAAAAAAAAGCCCCGGCAAACUUCGGC